rnacentral:rRNA from 1 species
UACGUAGGGGGGCAAGCGUUGUCCAGAUUUAUUGGGCGUAAAGAGCGUGUAGGCGGCCAUACAGGUCAGCUGUGAAAACUCGAGGCUCAACCUCGAGGACGUCGGUUGAAACCGUAUGGCUAGAGUCCGGAAGAGGAGAGUGGAAUUCCCCGGUGUAGCGGUGAAAUGCGCAGAUAUCAGGAGGAACACCAAUGGCGAAGGCAGCUCGCUGGGACGUGACUGACGCUGGAGACGCGAAAGCGUGGGGAGCAAACAGG